GAGUAGUGAGAGUGAGACGAAGGCAGAUGCUGUGCUGUGAAGAAGAUCCGUGGAGGAAGCAGAUGGCUGUGAACCAAUUGAAUCCUCAAUGUUUUCUGUGAAACAAUCGAAUCCUCAAUUGAAUCCUCAAUGUUUUCUCUUAUAUAUGAAUCGUAUAAUCAUGCUUGCACGUUCAGCAAUCCGAUUGUCUGUUAUGAUACCAACCGGCGCCGGAGAAUCAACCAGAACCGGUAGCUAUGAAAGGGAGAGAAGGUGAAAGGAUAGAGAGAGAACCAAAGAGAAUUAUAAAUUGAUUUUUCCAAAAGUUGCCAUUACAAAAAUUUCGGGAGCAUGUAUAGCCCACAUGCCUGCAAUUCCCCAAUACAAAAGUGCCACCUGGAUAAUGACUGAAAAUUACUAAAACUUUCUACUAAGUAUUGGCCCAUUACAAUCGAACCCCAUACUUUUAACCCCUUACAAUUAUGCCUUUUAACUACCUUACACUUUAGUCCUCACUACUAUUAACUAAAACCUCACUGUGACUAAGGCAAUCACGAUUAGUUCAUAACAAUACCUUCACCUUAGAGAACCUUGUCCACAAGGUUUUAGAGAGGAAAUGAGGGAUAUUCGGCUUUGAACUCAUUAAAAUCCUCUCAGGUCACCUCUGAUUCCUCUUGCUCUUGCCACUGUACUAGUAAUUGAACUCCAGCAACAUCUCCUUUCUUAUAGAUUCUCCUUGCCAACACUGCAACAGGUACAUUCCCUACUAAUCCAUCUUUAUCAACCUGUGGCAGGACAGUCUGUGGUGUCACUCUAGUUUCCAGGUGUUUCUUCAAUUGACUCACAUGGAAAACAGGGUGGAUUUUUGUGUUUGGUGGUAGGUUCAGUUUAUAGGCCACAUUUCCAACCUUCUCACAAAUCUCAUAAGGACCAUAGUAUCGUGGCAGGAGCUUAUGGUAGCGGUGAGGAGAUAGGGUCUGCAAUUGAUAAGGAAUCAGUUUCAAAUACACAAAUUCCCCAACUUCAAAUUGCCUCUCAGUUCUUUUCUUAUCUUGCUGCACCUUCAUGCGAUUCUGAGCCAAUUCCAGGUUGUGUUUUAGCAUGGAUAAGACCUUAUCCCUUUCCAUUAAACCUUGUCCCACGGCUUCCACUCUUGCAGUACCUAAUUCAUAGGGUAGAACUUGGGGAGGAGGAUAGCCAUAAACAAGUUCGAAAGGUGUGAAUUUGGCAGAUGAGUGGUAGGAAGUGUUAAAGCACCACUCGGCCCAGGGAAGCCAUUGUACCCACUUCUUUGGUUGACCCCCCACAAAACACCUUAAAUAGGUUUCAAGACACCGGUUCAUCACUUCAAUCUGCCCAUCAGUUUGGGGGUGGUAACCAGAGCUCAUACAUAGUUUGGAUCCUUGUAAUUUAAACAAUUCUCGCCAAAAAGCACUGACAAAAAUAGGAUCUCGAUCACUGACCACUGAGCUUGGUAUGCCAUGAAGUUUCAACACAUUGUCAAUAAAGGCCUGAGCCACUGUGAUUGCCGUAUAUGGGUGGGACAUUGCUAUGAAGUGAGCACUCUUGGACAGCCUGUCAACCACCACUAAUAUCACAGAUUUUCCUUUGCAUAAAGGCAGUCCUCCUAUGAAAUCCAUGCUAAUGUCGGUCCAAACUCUUUGGGGGAUAGGCAAAGGUUGCAACAACCCUGGUGGAGAAAUGGUUUCCACUUUGUUUUGUUGGCACACUUGACAUUUUGCCACAUAAGUCUUGAUAUCUCUCUUCAUUCCCUGCCAAUAGAAGCCUCUCUUGACCCUUUGGUAUGUUUUAAGUACUUCUUGGUGACCAGCAGAAGGAGUACAAUGGUAUUCUGCUAAAAUGUUCCUUUUCCACUCAGAGUGAGGACUCAACAACACUCUGCGUUUGUAAAGCAAAAAUCCGUUGUCAAUAGUGUACUUGCCCAAAGAAGAAUCACUUGUGCCCUUGAGUGCUGAGUCAAGAACUUCUUUUUUCUUUGUUUUGAUCCACUCAUCUUGUUCAGUGUUUCUUCUUAAGUCAUCAAUCCAUUCAUGGUAUGGGUAAGAAAUGGCAUAGCAUGCUCCCGUUGACUCCAACGAGUCUUGUAGCCUAGGCACCCCAUGUAACUUGGAUAAGGCAUCGGCUGCUGCAUUUUGGGAGCCAUUUUUUAACUGUAUCUCAUAAUCAUACCCCAACAAUUUAGAUACCCAUUUCUGUUGGAAUGCAGUAUUAGCUCGUUGGUGUAGGAAAUAUUUAAGACUGUUAUGAUCAGUCUUAAUUAUGAAAUGACGGCCUUGUAGAUAAUUCUGCCACUUCCGUACUGCAUAAACCACUGCAAUUAGUUCUCUUUCAUAGGUGGAGAGUGCUUGAUUUCGUGGACCUAGUGAUCGGCUUGAAAAAGCAAUAGGCCUUCCUCCUUGUUAUAGUACAGCUCCAAUACCACAGCCUGAGGCAUCACACUCUAAUUCAAAAAGCUUGGAGAAAUCGGGUAGUGCCAACACCUGUGGAGAAACCAUAGCUGUUUUAAGCUUGUUAAAAGCUUGUUGAGUGUCGGCAUCCCAAUGAAAACCAUCAUUCUUUGUCAAGUGGUAUAAGGGCUGGCAAAUCUUGCCAAAGCCUGGUACGAAUUUGUGAUAGUAGCUUGUUAAACCCAGGAACCCCUUGAGUUCCUUGAUGUUUCUUGGUGCAGGCCAACUUUGUAUAGCUUCAAUUUUUUGAGGGUCAGGUGCCACUCCUUCCUUAAAGACAAUGUGACCCAAGUACUCAACUCUAUUUUGGCCAAAUAAGCAUUUAGAUUUCUUGAAGAAGAGUUGAUUGGUCUGUAAUAUCUUAAACACCAUCUGCAAAUGGGCUAAAUGGGAUUCCUAGGUCCGACUAUAAACAAGAAUGUCAUCAAAGAAGACUAACACACAUUUUCUCAAAUGGGGUUUAAAUAAAGCAUUCAUUAAACCUUGAAAUGUGGCAGGGGCGUUUGUAAGCCCAAAAGGCAUAACUAGGAACUCAUAGUGUCCUUCAUGAGUCCUAAAUGCAGUCUUUUCAAUGUCCCCAGGUUGCAUUAAGAUCUGAUGAUAUCCAGAUCGUAAGUCUAGUUUAGAGAAAUAGAGAGACCCAUGCAACUCAUCCAGCAGGUCAUCAAUAAGGGGUAUGGGAUAUUUAUCCUUAAUAGUGAGGGCAUUGAGCUCCCUAUAGUCAAUGCACAUUCUCCAAGUGCCUUCUUUCUUUUUGACUAGUAACAUAGGGAAAGAAAAUGGACUAUGGCUUGGCCUUAUGAAACCUGCCUCCAGCAACUCCUGAACUGCCUUUUCUAUUUCUGUUUUUUGCAAUGGACCAUAGUGGUAGGGUCGGAUGUUUGGGGGUUUGGCACCUUGCACCAAAGGAAUAUGGUGAUCAUGGUCUCUCGGUGGAGGAAGCUUGGUAGGUAAGACAAAUAGUGCCUCAAACUUACCCCAAGAGUUGCUGCAGCUCCUGCAACUGCACUGAACUUAAGUCACAGGAUUCUAGUUUCUCUUCUUCCAUGAAAUACAAAAGUAACCCCAAGUUAGAAUUAACUAGCUCCUUGUGCUGCAACUCAGGGUGAUCAAUUUCUAUAUUGUCUUCCACAACUUCAGAAUCCAUCACAUCCAUCAUCAAUAGUUGUUUAAAACCACACUUAUGCCCCAUUACCCAUUUAUUAGGGCAAAACCAGCAUUCCCCUCGCGCUCUUUUCCUCUGGAUCUCCUCCGGGGUUAGCUUCUUAAUAGCAAGGUUGCUAGUGUGUGGCACAGUAUGGGAGGAAGGUGGAACAAUGGUUGAAAAGGGUUUAGAAGCUGUAUGGUUUUGAGAGGGGGCCGAUUUUAGCUCUGUGAGCUUGGUAUCAAGCUGCACCGCAAUGGCAAUCGCCUCAUGGACAUUGGUCGGUUUUAACAAUUUGACAUCAUAGCGAAGUUCUUUUUUCAACCCCCCUAAAAAGCAACUUUGUAACAGAAGAGGGCUAAUAUCAGGUGAUCUAGUAGCUAAGCGGCGAAAUUUAAUGAUAUAAUCACGAAGAGUACCUAGCUGGCAAAGUUUGAAGAGAACCUCGGCACUAUCGUCGAAAGCAGAUGGGCCAAACUCGCGACAAAUGGCUUUUGUAAACCCCAGCCAAGUGGGGGUGGUGGUGAUGCAGUCCAUCAAACGGAACUAGUGAAGAAGCGCACCUUCAAAAUGAAAGGAGGCCGUGAGAACACAUUGAGCAUCUGGAAUCCCAUAGAAGGAGAAGAACUGUUCGGCUUUGUAAAUCCAAGCAAGGAUAUCAUCACCGUCAGUGAAUCUGGGAAAGUCGAGGCGCUGUUGCCACGGCGGCCGUGGAUUCGGAAGGCCAGGAUGAGGCGGUGGUGGGAUAUGAGCCAGCUCAGUAGGAACAGGUGGAUCUGAAGUAGUUGGGAUGGAUGGACCUUCACCCUCACGACGAAAGGUGAGUUCAUGGGUGAGCUCGCAGCGGAAAUGCUCAAAAUACGCCGGAAGGCGCGCAUCGAAAUACACUGGAAGGCGUGCAUCGAGUUGGGCUGGAAGCUUAGCAUCAAAAGCAGAGUUCACUGCCUCGCGGAUGAUCGAUGGAAAUUCAGAUUCGAAAGCAGCAAAGCAGGCAUCCAUUGUGGAACGAGUGGUGGGUUUGGAACGGGGCAUACAAGGAUGGGAAAAUCCAGGAACGAAGGGUGAUACCAAUGUUAUGAUACCAACCGGCGCCGGAGAAUCAACUAGAACCGGUAGCUAUGAAAGGGAGAGAAGGUGAAAGGAUAGAGAGAGAACCAAAGAGAAUUAUAAUUGAUUUUUCCAAAAGUUGCCAUUACAAUAAUUUCGGGAGCAUGUAUAUCCCACAUGCCUGCAAUUCCCCAAUACAAAAGUGCCACCUGGACAAGGACUGACAAUUACUAAAACUUUCUACUAAGUAUUGGCCCAUUACAAUCGAACCCCAUACUUUUAACCCCUUACAAUUAUGCCUUUUAACUACCUUACACUUUAGUCCUCACUACUAUUAACUAAAACCUCACUGUGACUAAGGCAAUCACGAUUAGUUCAUAACAUUGUCGGUCUUUCAACACUUUGGCAGACUUAAUCAAAUAAUAAUUUCAAUUUUUAGUAUAAC
rnacentral:lncRNA from 1 species